AUAUGGAAGACAUUCACGUAACUUGUGUUUAUUAUCACAUACAAUUUUAAAUUAGAUUAGUGAUGUGGUUCCAUGAAAUAAAUAAAUGAAUUAAUGGUGUAGAAACUGAAAUGAAUUUAGUGUAUAAUGAAAAAUAAAAGGAUGGUUCCAUUUCAUAUAAGAAAUAAUAUAUGACUCUAACCCAACACACAACUCUUAAAUGUUAAACUCAUACAUAACUUUUGAAUACUAAACCCUAAACUGUUAUUACAAAACCCUAACCUCAAUCCCCACCUUCCAAAUACUAAAUCCUAAAUGCUAAUCACUAAACCCUAAAUCUUAAUCACUAAACCCUAAACCCAAGUAUAGACCUUAAACCCAGAUAGAAUGGAACAAAAAAUAUAAUAUGGUUUACUAAACCCAAACCUCUACUUACCAAAUCUAAACCCUAUGCAUGAACCUAUAAACCCAAAUACAAUCUAUAAAUUAUUUUUCAAUAUUAGACACUUGAACGCACAUUUACUUAGUUAGCAUAUUACAUAUCUUCUAUUCCAUAUAGUCUAAGUAAUAUAGUACACGAAUGUUUAAAAUAAUCAAAAAUUUUCAACGGUGUAUCCAUAGUAUGAAAUGCAAAUAGUAAAUCCUCUUCACCCGCAAAAAUACAACAAUACAAGACACACCACUAAUUAUUAAAGCUAAAUCCUAAUUAAGAAAACAUAAACUCAAAUAGUAUAUAUAUAUAAUAUGGUUUACUAUAUCCAAACAUCUACUUAGUAAAUCUAAACCCUAGGCAGAAACCUAUAAACCCAAAUACAAUCUAUAAAUUUUUUUCUAAUAUUGGACACUUGAAGGCACAUUUUGAAUAUUAAACCCUAAACUGCUAUCGCUAAACCCAAACCUUAACCACACACCUUCCAAAUACUAAAUUUUAAACUCUAAUCACUAAACCCUAAACCCAAGUAUAACCCCUAGAUCCAAAUAGAAUGGAAUAAAAUAAAUAGUAUAGUACAUAUUGGUGAACAAAAUAUAACACUCUUUAUUAAUCGUCAAAUAACACGAUACAUGUUCACUAAACCCAAAUCCCAACCCCGCCCUUCUAAAUACUAAACCCUAAAUCCUAAUCACUAAACCCUAAACCCAAGUAUAAACCCUAAACCCAAAUAUAAACCAUAAACCCUAAACUCUAAACCCAAAUCUCAAAAUCUAAUAUUGGCCUCAAACUCACCCCUAUUACUCUAAAUACUAAACCCUAAUCACUAAUUACUAAACCAUAAACUCAAAUAUAAACUCUAAAUCCAAAUAUCAAAAUCUAAAAUAAUACAUAAUAUUAUGUAAUAUUAAUUUAUACUAUAUAAAUAUUAUUUAUAGUUGAGAAAUGUAGUAUAAUACACUAAUAUAAGAGUUUAUUUGUCAUCUAUCAAAAUUGGUUUUAAUCAUUACCCUUAAACCAAUAUAGUAUGAAUUUCAUAUUACAAUCAAUUACACAAAAUGACAAAGAAGAAAACUAUCAAAUUUGUAAAUAUGAAGAUGAUUACAUUUUUAAGGGAUUGUUUAGAUAUAUAUUUCAAAUAGUAUAGUAACUUUACAUAAAUAACUACACUAAAGAAUAUAUACUAUACUAUUACUUUCCCGAAUAUAGUAUAGACGAUAAGUUCAUCUUAUUCAAUUCUUCUUUUGUCAAACAUGCUGAUACACCUUCAGUUCGUUCACCGUCAUUAUUCUUCACUACCAUAUAGAGAUCAUCUUCAUCUCUUCUCCUUUUUUUCGACACGGCAACAUUUUUACCGGUCCGCCGUCGUUAUUCUUCACCAUUAGAUCACUAAAACAAAAAAGAAACGAAAACAAAGUAUGAAAACAAAAGCAUGACGUGAGAAUCAAUGAUUUAAGAGAAAGAGGAAAAGAAAUGAAAGAGUUGUUAUGUUUGCUCACGUAUACACAUUCAUCAUUAUUCUUCUCAUGAGAAGAAAUUCAGUCAAGAAGAUGUGUGCAUAAUAAAAGACCACGUUCAUCUUUAUUUUCAUGAAAGCUAUCUAAUUAUUUUGAGAGGUGAGAAAGAAUACAACGUGGCCACAUAUUUUACUUGUUACAUUAAUUAAUUAUUUAUUUAAUUUGUUUUGGUAGUAGGUUUCACCGGUUGAAUAUGAUGGCAAUAUGACAAUAAUGUAUAUUAUGUACAGGGUAUAUAGAUAAAUGAGGGUUUUUAGAUAGUUGGUGAAUUAUAAUUUGUUUGAAGGUUAUAAAGUUCAAUUUCUCUGAGAAUAAAGGAAAAAUAUUUUUAAAAAAGAGAUGAAAGAAAAAAAUCCUAAACAUAAUUUGAGCGAAGAAAGUAUAUCACAGUGGGUCAGGAAUCAGGAGUCAUGACAAUGAUGGAGUGUCUUAUUUUAAUAGUUUUAAAUUAAACAAAUUUGAUAGAAGAUAUUAUUUUUUUAUCAGAUCUUUAUUAUUCAAAAUCAUUAAUUGUCAUAUAUACUUUAGCCACAUUAGGCAAUUCCGUAAUCUUUAUUUAAGGAAAUAAUAAAUGACAUUAAUAAUGAAUUUAUGGUUAGUUUAAUAAAAAACUUAUUAUAUAAUUAGAUGGACCAACAUAUUUCUCUAAUAAUUCUAAGAAUCAUCCUAGUGAUGACACGUGGCUACAAAAAGAAGUUGUAAUGUUUCACAAAUAAUAUAUAGGGGAUUUCCAUGUUUUCUACCCCUUUUCUGAACGGGAAAACAAAGAAAACUAUACAUAUAAACGGUAUAUUUAGCCGCAAGAACAAAAAUGAUGAAUAAGAAGAAGGGCUUAGUUGCCCAAUAACCAAAUUCAUAAUAGAAAUUAGGUGGAUGACACUGAUGUUAACAUAACAAAGAAACUAUCAUUUAUGCUAUAAUUUAUCCGGUUAUACGUUUUUUAAUUACAAGUGACCGGUGAAAGAGAAGAAAGAGAUAACGUCAGAUAUUUUAAGGUGUAGACACCUUAAUAGCUAACGGUUCAGAAUGGGUGUGGACACCUUAAUAGCUAACGGUUCAGAAUGAGAGAUAUGGAAGACAUUCACGUAACUUGUGUUUAUUAUCACAUACAAUUUUAAAUUAGAUUAGUGAUGUGGUUCCAUGAAAUAAAUAAAUGAAUUAAUGGUGUAGAAACUGAAAUGAAUUUAGUGUAUAAUGAAAAAUAAAAGGAUGGUUCCAUUUCAUAUAAGAAAUAAUAUAUGACUCUAACCCAACACACAACUCUUAAAUGUUAAACUCAUACAUAACUUUUGAAUACUAAACCCUAAACUGUUAUUACAAAACCCUAACCUCAAUCCCCACCUUCCAAAUACUAAAUCCUAAAUGCUAAUCACUAAACCCUAAAUCUUAAUCACUAAACCCUAAACCCAAGUAUAGACCUUAAACCCAGAUAGAAUGGAACAAAAAAUAUAAUAUGGUUUACUAAACCCAAACCUCUACUUACCAAAUCUAAACCCUAUGCAUGAACCUAUAAACCCAAAUACAAUCUAUAAAUUAUUUUUCAAUAUUAGACACUUGAACGCACAUUUACUUAGUUAGCAUAUUACAUAUCUUCUAUUCCAUAUAGUCUAAGUAAUAUAGUACACGAAUGUUUAAAAUAAUCAAAAAUUUUCAACGGUGUAUCCAUAGUAUGAAAUGCAAAUAGUAAAUCCUCUUCACCCGCAAAAAUACAACAAUACAAGACACACCACUAAUUAUUAAAGCUAAAUCCUAAUUAAGAAAACAUAAACUCAAAUAGUAUAUAUAUAUAAUAUGGUUUACUAUAUCCAAACAUCUACUUAGUAAAUCUAAACCCUAGGCAGAAACCUAUAAACCCAAAUACAAUCUAUAAAUUUUUUUCUAAUAUUGGACACUUGAAGGCACAUUUUGAAUAUUAAACCCUAAACUGCUAUCGCUAAACCCAAACCUUAACCACACACCUUCCAAAUACUAAAUUUUAAACUCUAAUCACUAAACCCUAAACCCAAGUAUAACCCCUAGAUCCAAAUAGAAUGGAAUAAAAUAAAUAGUAUAGUACAUAUUGGUGAACAAAAUAUAACACUCUUUAUUAAUCGUCAAAUAAAACGAUACAUGUUCACUAAACCCAAAUCCCAACCCCGCCCUUCUAAAUACUAAACCCUAAAUCCUAAUCACUAAACCCUAAACCCUAAACCCAAGUAUAAACACUAAACCCAAAUACAAACCAUAAACCCUAAACUCGAAAUCCAAAUCUCAAAAUCUAAUACUAGCC
rnacentral:lncRNA from 1 species